rnacentral:lncRNA from 1 species
UAUGUUGCUGCAUCGCUCAUAACCCGACAUAUCUAUCGGGAGGCAAAUAUUGCGAUUGAUUGGAUUGCUACAUUCAUGGCGGAGCACUCGAGAGAUUGAAUUUAAAGACAGAAUGAUGUUUGUCUGUCAGUCUUGCGGGAUCUUCCAUAUCUCAAUCUUAUGGGCUGCUCUCGCAUCAAAAUGGUGUGACUGCCUGUUUGUACAAAAAAAAAAGCAUGCCAGUGGGGAAAA